rnacentral:misc_RNA from 1 species
GGCCAGCGUUGUGAACCCAGAAACAGCGGUCUACCAAGCCGUCUCCUCGGCCCCUUCCAUAGCUCCACUGUGCGUCUCCGGCGAGCAUCCACGGCUAUUAUAAACAUUAAAAGCCGUCGGAAUUCUCUAGCACUUGUCAAAAUCAUUCACUCGACAGUUCCCUUGGUGCGUGAAAUUUUCACCUUCAUAUAUCAUAUCAUCAGUUGAAACUUUUGAAAGAUGGUUGGGACGCAACCAGAAAGAGGAGAAGAGAAAGUAUCGUUGGAGCUCACUGAAGAGAUUCUCCAAAGCAUGGAAAUUGGCAUGGUUUUUAGGGAUUAUAAUGGUAGAAUCAGCUCCAUGGAUUUUCACAAGACGUCAAGUUAUCUAGUGACUGCCAGUGACGAUGAAUCAAUCCGCCUUUAUGAUGUUGCCAGUGCAACAUGUUUAAAGACCAUCAAUAGCAAAAAGUAUGGGGUUGAUCUGGUCUGCUUUACUUCUCAUCCUACAACUGUUAUAUACUCCUCAAAAAAUGGAUGGGAUGAAUCCCUGCGACUUCUCUCUUUGAAUGAUAACAAGUACUUGCGGUAUUUUAAAGGUCAUCAUGACAGGGUUGUCUCACUGAGCUUGUGCUCUCGUAAAGAAUGCUUUAUCUCUGGAUCCCUCGACCGAACUGUUCUGCUUUGGGAUCAACGGGCUGAAAAGUGUCAGGGUCUUCUACGUGUGCAAGGAAGGCCUGCUACAGCAUAUGAUGAUCAAGGGCUAGUUUUUGCAAUUGCCUUUGGUGGAUACAUAAGAAUGUUUGACUCUCGCAAGUAUGAAAAGGGGCCUUUUGACAUCUUUUCUGUUGGGGGAGAUCUAUCCAAUGCAAAUGCCGUAAAGUUUAGCAAUGAUGGGAGACUAAUGCUCUUGACAACUAUGGAUGGGCAUAUUCAUGUCCUUGAUUCAUUUCGUGGAACACUUUUAUCCACAUAUAAUGUGAAGCCAGUUUCAAUGAAUUCUACAUUAGAGGCAUCUUUUAGCCCUGAGGGAAUGUUUGUAGUAUCAGGUUCAGGUGAUGGUCGUGUCCAUGCUUGGAGUGUAAGGAGUGGGAAAGAAGUCGCAAGUUGGAUGACUUAUGAAACUGAGCCUCAUGUGAUAAAAUGGGCCCCUGGAAGUCUUAUGUUUGCAACUGGGUCUUCUGAACUAUCAUUUUGGAUUCCAGACUUGUCUAAAUUGGCAGCUUAUGUUGGAAGGAAGUAGAAUUUCAUCUGUAAUAUCCCUGCAUAAAUUUCAAGCAUCAAGUGAUCAUGAGAUUCCUAUUUUAACAAUGAACGUAUUGGUGGACUUCGGAGUCACUGCCAACUAUUCUUCAUAUUCUCUCUUGCCUCUUUUAAAGUAGAGUCAUUAUCCACCCAACUGACAGGCAGCUACGCUUUAUGUAGAAUUUACAUAUUAACCUAAGGAUUUGUAGGUUAAGAUUGUAGAUGAUCCAGUUAUGUCCUGAGGAAUUA